CCCUUAGACGUUCUGGGCCGCACGCGCGCUACACUGACGAAGGCAACGAGCUUUCCUUUACCGAAAGGUACGGGUAAUCUUUUGAAACUUCGUCGUGCUGGGGAUAGAUCCUUGCAAUUUUUGGUCUUAAACGAGGAAUGCCUAGUAAGCGCAAGUCAUCAACUUGCGUUGAUUACGUCCCUGCCCUUUGUACACACCGCCCGUCGCUACUACCGAUUGAAUGGUUUAGUGAGGCCUUCGGAUCCGCGACUCGUUUGUGGAGAAGUUGGACAAACUCAGUCAUUUAGAGGGAGUAAAAGUCGUAACA
rnacentral:rRNA from 1 species